CUAACUUAACUGGUUAGACUGAGUAUUCCUUCCCAUUUUUGAAUAUCAGGAAAUCUCUUUCAAAGAGUAGUUGUCUCUUAAAACAAUUUUUCUCUGUUUCUCUCAUUUAAAGUGAGAAGAGAACAUUUCUAUUCUCCAACAUGGAUUUAUUCAUGACCAGCCUUUGUCUCUGGUUUUUGUGACAGUUUUUUCCUGAAGGAAAGCAGCACCUAUCUUCUCCUUGAUACCUGCCUUUAUGCUUCAUGUAUGGAGAGUCACCCUAUCUCUUCAGCCUCCACAGUUCCUACUGAGCACAAUAAGUUAUCUAUUUCUUUUGUCUUUUUCUAUCUACUGCCAGACUGUGUCCUAUUCAGGCCAGGUGACUGUCUCUUCUAUCACAGAGUGUCUAAAUCCCUUGGAAUGAGAAUUGCUCUUAAAAGAUAAGCAAAUGCUUAAAUCAGUGGGAAACCACCUCUGUGGUUGCAGAAGUUAAGUUUUAUGCAGACUUUUAUUUCCCUUUAUAGUUGUCUGGGAUCAUGGACAAGGUCAUUUUCUGCAGUUCAUCUGGCAUGGAAAUAAUCUUCAGUUCAGACUCAGAGUGGAAUUUUCUUUUGCUCACCUCGGUGAAGAAAUACUCUCACAGAUUUCCAAGAGACCACUUUUCAGAAAGAGUAAUCCACCUGCAUGAGGAUGAAAUCAUGGCCAGUUACUGGACAGCUGACUAAUCCAAAAAGAGCUUCACCUCUUCCUCUCCAGUCCAGACAGAGAGGACACAAAAGAAGACAGGAUCAGGCAUAUACAGAAGAAGAAAAACAGUUCUCAUAGCUUGGACCCCUUGCAGUGUCUGAUGGUGCUCUCCCAGUCCUCCCAUUCUCUCCUCAUAUUAGAGAUGCUCCAGUCCCUUCAUCAUAUUGAUGGCCUUCUGCUGGACUUUUUCCAGUAGCUCGGUAUCUCUAGUCCAGUGUUUGGCCAUGCUCUGGGACCACAGUAAAGAAAGGUCCAAUGUACUAUGGCUGUAAGAAAGCCCUUUCCCUCACACCAAUUGCCCAUGUCACGAGCAGGACUAACUAAAAUCCUUGUUUACCCUGGCAAAACCUCAGGCAGACUGGAAGCAUGCCUGCUUCCUCCUUCUGGUGAGCAGUGCAGAAUGGCUGUGUCAUGGCUGCUGGAGAUGCUGGCAAGAAUAGAGUCUCUACAAAGAGCCAUUGUAUCCAAUCCAACACAGACGCUAUGUUUUGCUUCUUUAUAGCUCACAUUAGUCAACAAAAUCCAUCAACCGAUUAAUUUAUGCCUUGCAAUGGGUGAGGUAAUAGUGAAAGAAGCAUGUCUUGUUUAAUCCUCUGCUGUGCCAAUUGGUUUAAUGGAAUGCCAAUGGGUUUAACGGAAUAAUCUCCUGUAUAUAAAAAUACCAGUUGCAAGGUGCCCCACCAGCAGCAGGCUGGGGAGUGCUCGACUAACUCCUUUCUGUUGUUUGUGCAGAGCCUCCACAGUCAGUGCCAUCACCAACAUGAGCUGCUUGUCUUUGGCAAGGCAGCUCCUGGAAUGUUCUGUACAAAGAAGCACCAAUAAAAAGCUGAAUGCAGGAAUCUGUGUGCCUCUUAGCCUUUGCUUGUGAGUGUAGCAAAAGACCUAAUAGUUGGUACUCAUUUCCUUGCAUUUUGAAAUUCAUUGCAUCGAAAAGGUUUUACUUCUGAGGCUAAAUUCUCAUCUUGCUAGUCUGGAGGAGGAAGGCCACUGUGAAAACUAAAGAGUUGCACUUGAUUUGCACCCUUAUUAAAGAGAAUGGAAUUUGUCUCCUGAGCUUUACAUAACAUGGAGAUUUUUUCUUUUUUCUCUUUUUUUUUCUUUUCUCUUUUUUCCUUAUUCCCUUCCCUUCC